rnacentral:rRNA from 1 species
UUUUUUAAUGUAAAAAUUGAUUUUGUUUACCUAAGUAUUAUGAAGAUAAUUUAGUAAUUUGUUAUUAUAUUUAUUUAAAACUUAAAAGGUUUGGCGGUUUUACAUAUCCAGUUAGGGGAAUUUGUUAAUAUAAUUUGAUAAUCCACAUUUUAAACUUACUUCUUUUUGAAUUAUAUAUAACAGUUUAUAUAUUGCUGUCGACAGUUUAUAUUUUAAGAAUAAAAGAACUUUUAAAUUUUUUGGUUAGUAUGUCAAGUCAUAAUGUAGCUGAUAAAGAAGGUUUAAUGAAUUACUUUGAUUUAUUUUGUUUAUUAUCCGGAUAAUAAAUAUUAGGUUUAUUAAUAAGGUGGACUUAAUAGUAAAUUUAAUUAUUAGUAUGAAUAGUUGAAUAUGGUUUUGUAAAGUG